rnacentral:lncRNA from 1 species
GUUGUUGGGAGGCAGGAGUCGGGCCUGCAGACGCAGCCGGGAGGAAGAGCUGGGCCCGGAGAGGACGCCGGGAGGCUGCAAGUGGGUCUGGAGAGGCCGACUUGAGGAGCUUCUGGGCCCGGAGAGGCCGCCGGAAGGGAAAAACUGGGCCGGGAAAGGCCGUUGUGAGGAAUGAGCCCCAUGGGCCUGAAGAGGCCACUGGCAGGCGGGAGCUGGGCCUGCCGAAGCGGCGGAGAGGCCGGAGCUUUGGACUCGGGAGGCCGCAGGCGAGAGCGAGCUGGGCGUGGAGAGUCCGCUGUGAGGCAGAGGCUGGGCCUGUGCAAGCUUUCGGGAGGCAGGAGGCCAGGCCUGCAGAGGCCGACUGGAGGUCAAGUUCGG